UACGUAGGGCGCAAGCGUUGUCCGGAAUUAUUGGGCGUAAAGAGCUCGUAGGCGGUCUGUUGCGUCGGCUGUGAAAACCCGGGGCUCAACUCCGGGCCUGCAGCCGAUACGGGCAGACUAGAGUUCGGCAGGGGAGACUGGAAUUCCUGGUGUAGCGGUGGAAUGCGCAGAUAUCAGGAGGAACACCGGUGGCGAAGGCGGGUCUCUGGGCCGAUACUGACGCUGAGGAGCGAAAGCGUGGGGAGCGAACAGG
rnacentral:rRNA from 1 species